CAUGCAAGUCGAACGCAACCUUCGGGUUGAGUGGCGGACGGGUGAGUAACGCGUGAGAAUCUGCCUUGGGGUCGGGGACAACCACUGGAAACGGUGGCUAAUACCGGAUAAGCCUUUGGGUAAAAGAUUUAUUGCCCCAAGAGGAGCUCGCGUCUGAUUAGCUAGUUGGUGAGGUAAGAGCUCACCAAGGCAGCGAUCAGUAGCUGGUCUGAGAGGACGAUCAGCCACACUGGGACUGAGACACGGCCCAGACUCCUACGGGAGGCAGCAGUGGGGAAUUUUCCGCAAUGGGCGAAAGCCUGACGGGGCAAGACCGCGUGAGGGAGGAAGGCUCUUGGGUUGUAAACCUCUUUUCUCAGGGAAGAAGCUCUGACGGUACCUGAGGAAUCAGCCUCGGCUAACUCCGUGCCAGCAGCCGCGGUAAUACGGAGGAGGCAAGCGUUAUCCGGAAUUAUUGGGCGUAAAGCGUCCGCAGGUGGCGAUUCAAGUCUGCUGUCAAAGCACGGGGCUUAACUCCGUUAAGGCAGUGGAAACUGAAUAGCUAGAGUGCCGUAGGGGUAGAGGGAAUUCCCGGUGUAGCGGUGAAAUGCGUAGAGAUCGGGAAGAACAUCGGUGGCGAAAGCGCUCUACUGGACGGCAACUGACACUCAGGGACGAAAGCUAGGGGAGCGAAUGGGAUUAGAUACCCCAGUAGUCCUAGCUGUAAACGAUGGAUACUAGGUGUAGCUUGUAUCGACCCGAGCUGUGCCGAAGCUAACGCGUUAAGUAUCCCGCCUGGGGAGUACGCACGCAAGUGUGAAAACUCAAAGGAAUUGACGGGGGCCCGCACAAGCGGUGGAGUAUGUGGUUUAAUUCGAU
rnacentral:rRNA from 1 species